GACGAACGCUGGCGGCGUGCUUAACACAUGCAAGUCGAACGGAAAGGCGCUGCUUGUGUGGGGUGCUCGAGUGGCGAACGGGUGAGUAACACGUGAGUAACCUGCCCUUGACGUGGGGAUGACUUCAGGAAACUGGGGCUAAUGCCGGAGAGGAGCUCCUGCUGCAUGGUGGGGGUUGGAAAGUUUCUGCCGUGGGGGGUGGACUCGCGGCUUAUCAGCUUGUUGGGGGGGUAGUGGCUAACCGAGGGUUUGACGGGUAGCCGGCCUGGGAGGGUGGCCGCCCACCUUGGUCCUGCGGUACGGCGCAGUGUCCUAUGGUAGGCAGCAGUGGGAAGUCUUGCCCAGUGGGGGCAAGUCUGAUGCGGCAGCGCUGCGUGUGUGAUGACGUCCUUCGGGUUGUAAACCGCUUUCGCCUAUGACGAAGCGUUAGUGACGGUACUGGGUAAAGAAGCACCGGCUAACUACGUG
rnacentral:rRNA from 1 species